rnacentral:rRNA from 1 species
AAAAAAAAACACGUGAGUAACCUACCCUUGACUUUGGGAUAACUUCAUGAAACUUGGGCUAAUACCGGAAAGGAUCUCUUGCUGCAUGGUGGGGGUUGGAAAGUUUCGGCGGUUGGGGAUGGACUCGCGGCGUAUCAGCUUGUUGGUGGGGUAGUGUCUUACCAAGCAUUUGACGCGUAGCCGGCCUGGGAGGGUGAGCGGCCACAUUGAGCUUGAGAUAGGACACAGACUCGUACGGAAGGCAGCAGUGGGGAAUAGAGCACAAUGGGCGGAAGCCUAAUGCAGUAACGCCUUUUUUUU